GUCUGGCUGGCUCAGUCAGUAGAGCAUGAGACUCUUGAUCUCGGGGUUGUGAGUUCAAGCCCCACAUUGGGUG
rnacentral:tRNA from 1 species